UUUCAGAUUUCAAUUUCUGCUAAGUCUGCUAAAUCCUGAGCAUAUGGAAGAAACUAGACAGAAAUCAACAUCUUAUACCAUAUACCGAGAUAAACUCAAAAUAGGAAAUCCUUCAGUGGACAAAUGGGGAGAAGACACAGGUUAUUUCCAAAAGCAUCUUUAGUUCAGGUCCCUCCAAAAGACCUCUGUCACCACAGCAAGUCAGUGCUAUUGCCAUGCCCACCUCAUCGAAUAGCACCAUUGUGGGAAAGAGAGUUCCUUCCCAGAAAUGAAAGCAGAACCAGUCUUAAAGAGCAGCCCAGCUCCACCCAAUUGCCACUUUAUCCUUAUGCCAGGGCUGUUCCUACUUUGCCUUGUCUUAAUCAUCUGACCAAAAAUUCUAAGUCAUUGCCAUAUUUGAAAUACCAGGGGAUAACUAAUGCAUCUUCAUCCCAACACCAUAUUAACUCCUCUGUCUUCUCUUUGACUAACCCUGAAUUCAGAGGAAGGGCAAAUGCAUCUCUGAGAACAACUUCUAAACUUGUUAAGCCUCCAUUUAGCUCAAAACACAAAGUAGAGACUCCUCUAGUUUUUGAGCGCUUUCCCAAGAUCUCAACAAGCUGGAACAGUCAAAAGAAGGAGCCAACACACCCCAAACAACAGCCAUCACCUCUCCCACUCUGCGAGAACAGGUCUGAAGAACUCCCACAACUCAAACAGAAGCCAUCCUAUCUCCAGCUCCCUGACCACAAGGAUGAGGAACUCCCACAACACAGACAGAAGCCCCCAACGCCGCCAAUAUCCAACCACCAGGAUGAGGCAAUACCAUUGAUUACCUGUAAGAGCAAGACUAUGGGUGACCCUUCCACAUGCCCUGACUCUCAGGUCAAUGACAGACCUGUCCCAGCAAGUUUGAGUCACUCAGCUGAAACACCUCAGAACCUUAAGAACAAUAUCAGAGUUUUAACUGUUAUGGUGAGCAGAGAAGGAACCAACCUCUGGCCCAAAUGUCUAAUUCUACAAUCACCCCAUUCUGACCACCACCAUUCUUUAGAAGAAGCACCAGACAUUGAUUAUAUGAACCAAGUUACAAAGCAUGCCCUCGAGGAAACAGCUCUGCCUUUUCUAAAAGGCAACCAGCAAUCUGGACCCUGCACUUUACCUUCAUCCUUGCCCAAAUAUGUCAACAGGGGCACAAGCACAGAUUUCCCCUGGCCUCCGUUCAAUGUGAUGGUUGCAAAUAUUACAUCAUCAGAUCCCAACCACCAGGCCAGGGUAAUUAUGAGACAAUUAAGAGGUUUCACACCAAGUACCAAAUCAGUCUCUGAUUCUUACCUAUCUCUGGGUGCAUGGAGAACCUCUGGGUCCUUCCCAUUUGCUGAACAUAUAGCUGAGGCUUCACCAGGCUCUGAUUACAAGGCCGAAGACACUACUGGGCUACCAUUACAUUCUAAGCACAAAGUUACGAUUCCUCCUCUAGGAGUUGAUCAUUUUAGCAAGGUUGCACCAGAUCUAAGUCCUCAGACUGCAAUUCCCAUGGGCUCUGAACAUAGAACUUCCACCUCAGUGGUCUUGAGUGAUGGGCCUGAAGCAGCACCUGGUUCCAAGACACAGGACGUAAAAACGCUGUCUCCUCCCAUCAGCCAGACUGAAUACCUACUUUAUCCUGGACUUUUGGAUAAGGAUUCACUGGCACUAGAGUCUAAGUUCAGAGGCCCCAUUGACCUUGGCCAGAAAGUUGAGACUUCGAUAUGCUCCGAUAACCAGGUCUCCUCUUCACUCUACCCUAACCAACAGGCACAGGUUAUACAGAGCCCAGACUGCCAAAAUGUAGUAACUCUAAGCCCUGAUGACUAUGUACAAUAUCUAAAUAUUUUUGAUCUUCAAAAGAAAGAAACACUUGUCCCAAUACUCCAGAAUGAUCUUGAAUUGGGUGGUCCUAGUCACUACCAAACUCAAAUUGUACCAGACUCUUAUGAGAUGAUACUUCUACUGAGUGAUAAAACCAAGGCCAUACCUCCACUCAGUCAUGACCACACAACUGAGCCUGAAUCACAGUCUAAGAAGGCCACUCAACCACAUGACACAAAAAAUCAAGCAGUGCCUCAGUUAUGCCCAGAUUAUGAGAUGGUUCCCCCUCAAACCACUGAAGAUCACCCAAGGGAGGCUAGGCCUAAUACAAGUGAACAAGUCUCACAUCAAACAGAAGUAGACUUCUGGAAAAUAACGCCACAGGAACCAGACCACCAGGUCAUAACUCCACCAUCACAAGAUAAUAGAGAGACAACUUCACCAGGCAUAGACCAAGAGGUCAUAACUCCACCAGGGAAAGAUGACAGCAAGGCACCUUCACUGAACAUAGACAGCUUGGUCAUAACUCCACCAGGGAAAGAUGACAGUGAGGUACCUUCAUGGAAUAUAGACAGCCUGGUCAUAACUCCACCAAUGCAAGAUGACAGUGAGGCACCUUCACUGAACAUAGACAACCUAGUCAUAACUCCACCAGGGAAAGAUGACAGUGAGGCACCUUCACUGAACAUAGACAACCUGGUCAUAACUCCACCAAUGCAAGAUGACAGUGAGGCACCUUUCCUAAACAUAGACAACCUGGUCAUAACCCCACCAAUGCAAGAUGACAGUGAGGCACCUUCACUGAACAUAGACAACCUGUUCAUAACUCCACCAGCAAAAGAUGAUAGUGAGGCACUUUCGCUGAACAUAGACAGCCUGGUCAUAACGACACCAAGGCAAGAUGACAGCGAGACACCUUCACUGAACAUAGACAACCUGGUCAUAACUCCACUGAAGCAGGAUGACAGUGAAACGCCAUGGCAGGAUGAAGCUAAAACACCUUCAUUGGUCAUGGAUGGCCAAAUCAUAACUCCACCAUGGGAGGAUGAUGGGGGGAAAUAUUCACCAGGCAUAGACUGCCAGGUCAAAACUCCACCAUGGCAGGAAGACACUGAGAUACCUUUACAAGGUAUAACCUCACCAUGUCAGGAUGAUAGUGAGACGCUUUCACUGGGCAUAGACCACCAAGUCAUAACUCCACCAUGGCAGGAUGACACUGAGACACCUUCAUUGGGCAAAGAAUGCCAAGUUAUAACUCCACCAUGUCAGGAUGAUGAUGCAGCUCCUUCACUUGGCACAGACCACCAGGUCAUAACUACAUUAUGGCAGGAUAAUAGUAAGAUGUCUUCACUGGGCAUAGACCAUCUCAUAAUAAAUCCGCCAUGGCAGGAUGAAGGUGAGAUACCUUCUCUGGGCAUAGAUCACCAGGUCAUAACUCCACCACGGCAGGAUGACAGUGAAACACCUUCACUGGACAUAGAGCACCAGAUCAUAACACCACCAAAACAGGAUGAAGGUGAGAUACCCUUUCUAGACAUAAAUCACCAGAUCCUAACUCUACCAUGGGAGGAAACAUCUUCACUGGGCAUAGACCACCAGGUCAUAAUUCUACCCUGGCAGGAUGAAGGUGAGACACCUUCACUGGGCAUAGAUGACCAGAUCAUAAUUCAACCAUGGCAGGAUGACAGAGAGUCACUUUCACUAGUCAUGGACCAACAGGUCAUAAGACCACCAUGGCAGGAUAACAGUGAGACACAUUCCUUGGGCACAGACCACCAGACCAUAAAUACACCAUGGCAAGAUGACGUUGAAAGACCUUCACUGAGCUUAGACCACCAAGUCAUAACUCUACCAUGGCAGGAUGACAGUGAGACACCAUCACUGGGCUUAGACUGCCAGGUCAUAACUUUACCAUGGCAGGAUGACAAUGAGACACCUUCACUGAGCUUAGACCACCAGGUCAUAACUCUACCAUGGCAGGAUGACAGUGAGACACCUUCACUGGGCUUAGAUUGCCAGGUCAUAACUCUACCAUGGCAGGAAGGCAAUGAGACACCUUCACUGGACUUAGACCACCAGUUCAUAACUCCACUGUGUCAAGAUGAUGGUGCAGUUCCUUCAGAGGGCAUGGAAUACCAGGUCAUAACUCCACCUGACUCUUACCACCUCACUGAAGCUAUACCAAGUACAUACCUCAAUUUAGAGGCAAUAGUAGAGCCCAGUGAGCAAGCCUUGCCUCAAAAUUACUUAUACCAUGGGGCAAAAAAGUCAAUGAGACCAGAGUACCAAAGUACAGCUUCACUUGGUCAGAGCAAUCAGGUUGAAAUUGGAUCAGAUGCCAACAACAACCAGAGCACAUUUCCAACAGAUCAGGAUGAUCAAGUUAGAGUUUCAAUCAUGCCUGAAGAAAAGACCAUUCCUUUAUCCCCUCCUAACUCUGACUACAAAAAUAAAACUCCACUUGGGCUCCAAAAUCAGACUAUACAGAAAAGAGAAAUCCCAUGGCAUUUGAAGCACAUCAAACCAUACACCGUUGAGGGCAGUGACAAUAUCUCUGCAAGAACAGUACAAGCCAUUGUUAAUUCCAUCCCUGAGGAGAAAAUUAAAAAUGAUAUAUGUAAGCAGAUUCUCUUUCGGCGGAUGAAGGAAAAUACCCAACAGAGGCCUGGUAAAUGCAUGUCAACCAGCUAUGCAGUCUGCUUACAAUGUGUCUCCUGGGUCCCAAAUGGCUGUCACCAUGACAAGGAAAUGAACCAUCUUUUUGAAGCAGAAAUGUUAGUCAUGCCAAUACCUCUGCCAGGUUCUAAAGAGGAUAUGGGCUUGAAAUUUGUCCUGAGAGUGCCCCAUAUACCCAUUUCUUUAUUCAAUCAGUUUUUCCAAGAGCCCCAAAAUCAAUGUCAAUUACAUAGUCAAUUAUCAAACUUUCCAUCACCCUCACAAACAGCCCUCAAUGAGUCCCAUGUGCCUGCAAAGGCUGAGUUGCUUGAUUAUUCAAAAAAUGAUUACACUUUGGAAAUUAAAACAUCUAACAAUCAAGAGCAACUCACAAAAGAGAUGCCCAUAAGGAGAGAAAGUAAAGAAAAUGAAAAGUCAAGGGAACAUGUAAAGAAUUUCAAAUCUCUGCUUGAGAAAUUUCAAAAGCAAAGACAAAAUUAAAUUAACAUCUUUUUCUUUGAAAAUGAUUGUGUGCCUUUGAAAUUUAAGUCUGAUUUUGUGUCAUAUGUUAUGUAGUUAAAGAGGGACACAUUGAUUCUGUCUGCUCAUGACAUAAUCCAGCAUAGUCCCCUUCAUAAGCAUUCAGAGGGAAGGGACUCUAUGUUCUCUCUCCCUCUCAUACAAUAUUUUAACUUCAAGUUAAAUUAUAUUCAGAGUGAAGGGAGCUCCACAGGACAGAAAAGCCAUGUUUUUCUGCCUUUUCUUCCCCUCUCACAAUAAGGCUCAGUAAAGGACACCCAGAGUAUGUAUUCACCUUUUUUAUCCUUUUUAUCCUUUCUUACCCUAUAUCACUCAUAAAACUCAGCAUUCUGUAUUUCAAUAUUUCAAAGAUUCACAAGAUCCAUGAUAUCAAUAUCAACAUUUCCUCAAACAAUACAUUACAAAUUCAGCCAAUUUUAAUGGUAGCUGGUUCUUAUCACCUUCCAUUUGGGUUUAUUAAAAAGCUGUCUUUUGGCUUAGAACUUUUUGAUAAGCUCUCCAGAGAGAGGAGCUCUUUCUGACAUACUCCAAAUCUCUGGGUGACCAUUUAAAAUCUUUCCAGCUUAGUGUAGGUCCUACCAGAUCAGACAGUCUCUGAGCCCCAUGCUCAUGUCUCCAUAUAAUGAGACAAAAGAGUGGGACUUGGUGGAAGCAUGUUUCAGUGGGAUAUAGAAAAUAGAGAGGAAUAUGAAACUCUGUUGUGGAGGUCAUUCUUGUUGAACCAUCUUCCUAAAUGGUCUCUCUUAGUCCUUAAUAGCACUAUUCUUUAUAUAUGCUAAAAACUCACUUACAUUAUGGAGUGUUACUUCCUGUCUCUGAAGCCUGGAUUCACAACUUCCUUGCAGUUUUCUGCAUUCCUCUGUCUCUGGCAGAACUUGACAAACUAAAAUGAAUUCUUCCUUUUAAAACUUGAAAAACACCAUAGUUUCAAUUUUUACAUAUGUAUGUUUCUUAACCCAACAUCAUUGACAAAGUAAAGGUAGAAUAUGUUAAUACAGGAUGUUUCACAGGUCUCUGGCUAAACUCAAAAUCACCUCAUCAAAUGCAAACUCGGGCUAGAAGAGCAGCAAACGCAAAGAUGGCAGAAGUUAAAAGUUUCCAUCAUCUAAAUCUUGGCUCGCCAAAGCUGGUGAAAUUAAUGUUAUAGACUUGUCCAUCCCAGAAUAAAUUCGGUUAAAUCAAAGCCCA
rnacentral:lncRNA from 1 species